ACCUUCGGGCCUCUUGCCAUCAGAUGUGCCCAGAUGGGAUUAGCUUGUUGGUGAGGUAACGGCUCACCAAGGCGACGAUCCCUAGCUGGUCUGAGAGGAUGACCAGCCACACUGGAACUGAGACACGGUCCAGACUCCUACGGGAGGCAGCAGUGGGGAAUAUUGCACAAUGGGCGCAAGCCUGAUGCAGCCAUGCCGCGUGUAUGAAGAAGGCCUUCGGGUUGUAAAGUACUUUCAGCGAGGAGGAAGGGGAUGUGGUUAAUAACCGCAUUCAUUGACGUUACUCGCAGAAGAAGCACCGGCUAACUCCG
rnacentral:rRNA from 2 species